rnacentral:rRNA from 1 species
UCUGCCCUGUACUGGGGAAUAGCCCAGAGAAAUUUGGAUUAAUGCCCCAUGGUAUGUGGAAGCGGCAUCGCUUUUACAUUAAAGGCUACGGUACGGGAUGACUAUGCGUCCCAUUAGUUAGUUGGUAAGGUAACGGCUUACCAAGGCAGCGAUGGGUAGGGGCCCUGAGAGGGGGAUCCCCCACACUGGUACUGAGACACGGACCAGACUCCUACGGGAGGCAGCAGUGAGGAAUAUUGGACAAUGGGCGGGAGCCUGAUCCAGCCAUGCCGCGUGCAGGAAGACGGUCCUAUGGAUUGUAAACUGCUUUUGUACGGGAAGAACAAGGGGCACGUGUGCCCCUCUGACGGUACCGUAAGAAUAAGGAUCGGCUAACUCCGUGCCAGCAGCCGCGGUAAUACGGAGGAUCCGAGCGUUAUCCGGAAUCAUUGGGUUUAAAGGGUCCGUAGGCGGGCCAUUAAGUCAGGGGUGAAAGUCUGCGGCUCAACCGUAGAAUUGCCCUUGAUACUGGUGGUCUUGAGUUAUGGUGAAGUAACUAGAAUAUGUAGUGUAGCGGUGAAAUGCAUAGAUAUUACAUAGAAUACCGAUUGCGAAGGCAGGUUACUAACCAUAUACUGACGCUGAUGGACGAAAGCGUGGGGAGCGAACAGGAUUAGAUACCCUGGUAGUCCACGCCGUAAACGAUGGAUACUAGCUGUCCGGAUGCAAAUCUGGGCGGCCA